rnacentral:lncRNA from 1 species
GCCUUAUAACAUGUCUUUAUAACUGGCUGUGUAAGAAUGAAGAAAAGCUGUCCAUCUUCUGAGAAGGAAGCAGCAUGUGCCAUCCUUCUGUCAGAAAACACCAAAGAGAUGAAGAAAUGAGAAAUCCAGAAACCAAAGACCUUGCUCUUUUGUCAAACAGACUUGGUAGAGCAGAGUUGCAAAAUCAGACCUUUGGGGGCUUGCGUGUUUCUCCUCUUACUCCCUGGUGUAGGUAUCACAGCAAUUUCCCCACAUCCAUUCCAGCUGGUGAUUUCCUGCUUGGUCGUCUUUUAAAACCCAGCCAUCUGAAUCCGAGAGUUGCUUCUUCAGCAAGGCCUCCCCUGACUCCUUCAGAUGUCUAAGCACCACCCCUACUCUUCUGCUGCAGCAUCUCCACUUGCUUUUGUCCUUCAUCUCCCUGAAAUUAUUUGCUUACUCAUCCAUCCAUGUCAGUUGCAAAAGCAUGACUUCCUCUAGUCCAAAGGCCAUUCAUGUUCAAUAUGUUAGCACUCGGAGCGUCUCCAGUGGUUGUUUCAAACAAGGCAAAUGAGUUCAGUUGAACUUUAUAUGUUCUGCCCUCCGACUGUGACUGUUAUUUACUUCCCUCCAAACAAAAUGUAAUAAUAAAAUGACUAACUGAA